rnacentral:rRNA from 1 species
UACGUAGGUGGCGAGCGUUGUCCGGAAUUACUGGGUGUAAAGGGUGCGUAGGCGGGUGCGCAAGUCAGAUGUGAAAUCCCGGGGCUUAACCCCGGAACUGCAUUUGAAACUGUGCGUCUUGAGUGGAGGAGAGGUAAGUGGAAUUCCCAGUGUAGCGGUGAAAUGCGUAGAUAUUGGGAGGAACACCAGUGGCGAAGGCGACUUACUGGACUCUAACUGACGCUGAGGCACGAAAGCGUGGGGAGCAAACAGG